AGUGAACGCUGGCGGUAGGCCUAACACAUGCAAGUCGAACGGCAGCACAGUAAGAGCUUGCUCUUACGGGUGGCGCGUGGCGGACGGGUGAGGAAUACAUCGGAAUCUACUUUUUCGUGGGGGAUAACGUAGGGAAACUUACGCUAAUACCGCAUACGACCUACGGGUGGAAGCAGGGGAUCUUCGGACCUUGCGCGAUUGAAUGAGCCGAUGUCGGAUUAGCUAGUUGGCGGGGUAAAGGCCCACCAAGGCGACGAUCCGUAGCUGGUCUGAGAGGAUGAAUAGCCACACUGGAACUGAGACACGGUCCAGACUCCUACGGGAGGCGGCAGUGGGGAAUAUUGGGCAAUGGGGGCAAGCCUGAUCCAGCCAUACCGCGUGGGUGAAGAAGGCCUUCGGGUUGUAAAGCCCUUUUGUUGGGAAAGAAAAGCAGCAGGUUAAUACCCCGCUGUUCUGACGGUACCCAAAGAAUAAGCACCGGCUAACUUCGUG
rnacentral:rRNA from 1 species